rnacentral:rRNA from 1 species
GACGAACGCUGGCGGCGUGCUUAACACAUGCAAGUCGAACGGAAAGGCCCUGCUUUUGUGGGGUGCUCGAGUGGCGAACGGGUGAGUAACACGUGAGUAACCUGCCCUUGACUUUGGGAUAACUUCAGGAAACUGGGGCUAAUACCGGAUAGGAGCUCCUGCUGCAUGGUGGGGGUUGGAAAGUUUCGGCGGUUGGGGAUGGACUCGCGGCUGAUCAGCUUGUUGGUGGGGUAGUGGCUUACCAAGGCUUUGACGGGUAGCCGGCCUGAGAGGGUGACCGGCCACAGUGGAACGAAAGUGGCGCCGAGGCCCCGAGGGGAGGCAGGAGGGGGGAAUAUGGAACAAGGGGGGGAAGCCGGCUACAGACACCCCGGGUGGGGGAUGACGGCCUUGGGGUUGUAAACCGUUUUCGCCUGUGACGAGGGGGGAGGGAGUGGAAAGGGUAAAAGAGCACGGGCAAAUCAGGG